AGAGAAAAUUGGUGGAUUUCAAGUAAUCAAGCAAUCAAAGGUGGUGAGCCCUCUAACAAGGGUAAAGACGUUGUGUCAGAGGACUGAGAAUAUGAGUAUUUCAAACUCCUGAUACAGCUCAGGAUAGUCGGUAGAUAGCCCAUUUCAUCGAGAGCUACCAUUAGAUUUGCAUCCUCCAAACUGUAGGUUCACAGCCUUUAUUACUUUGGUUAUUCGAGGGCCCACUUGUUAUUGUAAAUUAAAUCUUAUGCUUUGGUUAUCUGUAUUACAAUAUGUAUGAAUUUAAUUAGCUUUUAC